rnacentral:rRNA from 1 species
UACGUAGGUGGCAAGCGUUGUCCGGAUUCAUUGGGUUUAAAGGGUGCGUAGGCGGCCAUUUAAGUCAGUGCUGAAAUAUCACAGCUUAACUGUGAGGGUGGCAUUGAUACUGGGUGGCUUGAGUGCUAGCGAGGCAGGCGGAAUUGACGGUGUAGCGGUGAAAUGCUUAGAUAUCGUCAAGAACACCGAUAGUGUAGACAGCUUGCCAGGGAGCAACUGACGCUGAGGCACGAAAGUGUGGGGAUCAAAC